GCCAGGCGUGCUGAGAGCUCAGGAAUGAAGUCAUAGAGAGUCGAAGCUGUCUUCUUGCGCUGAGUCAGUUCCUGGUGCGGGGGUCACAAGAUCAGAUGAGC